rnacentral:rRNA from 1 species
GACGUAGGGCGCGAGCGUUGUCCGGAUUUAUUGGACGUAAAGAGCUCGUAGGCGGCUUGUCGCGUCGGCUGUGAAAACCCGCGGCUCAACUGUGGGCGGGCAGCUGAUACGGGCAGGCUGGAGUUCGGUAGGGGAGACUGGAAUUCCUGGUGUAGCGGUGAAAUGCGCAGAUAUCGGGAGGAACACCGGCGGCGAAGGCGGCUGCCUGGACCAGUCCUGACGCUGAGGCGCGAAAGCUAGGGGAGCAAACAGG